rnacentral:misc_RNA from 1 species
CUGCUGCUACUGCUGCUGCUGCUGUCGAGAACCGAGACUGGACUUGAGGUGUGAAAUUGGUUCGACGGCGACAAUGAGGAGGUGUUGAUGGUUAGGUUUCCGGCGCCGGAGAAGGAAUCGUCGACGAAAUUUGAGAGCCAUUCCAAUUGAACCAUGUCAUCGUAGGGAGCAGGGAGUUCAGCGGAGAGGCCAGAGUCACCGGUAUCGGCGGAAAACACCGGGUCGACGACGGCGGGUGGCAAGGAG